rnacentral:piRNA from 1 species
UGAUCAUAAAGUUGCAGUGAGUCGUGUCA